rnacentral:rRNA from 1 species
GACGAACGCUGGCGGCGUGCCUAAUACAUGCAAGUAGAACGCUGAAGGAGGAGCUUGCUCUUCUGGGUGAGUUGCGAACGGGUGAGUAACGCGUAGGUAACCUGCCUGGUAGCGGGGGAUAACUAUUGGAAACGAUAGCUAAUACCGCAUAAGAGUAGAUGUUGCAUGACAUUUACUUAAAAGGUGCAAUUGCAUCACUACCAGAUGGACCUGCGUUGUAUUAGCUAGUUGGUGGGGUAACGGCUUACCAAGGCGACGAUACAUAGCCGACCUGAGAGGGUGAUCGGCCACACUGGGACUGAGACACGGCCCAGACUCCUACGGGAGGCAGCAGUAGGGAAUCUUCGGCAAUGGACGGAAGUCUGACCGAGCAACGCCGCGUGAGUGAAGAAGGUUUUCGGAUCGUAAAGCUCUGUUGUAAGAGAAGAACGAGUGUGAGAGUGGAAAGUUCACACUGUGACGGUAGCUUACCAGAAAGGGACGGCUAACUACGUG